rnacentral:rRNA from 1 species
GUGGGGAAUCUUGCGCAAUGGGCGAAAGCCUGACGCAGCCAUGCCGCGUGAAUGAUGAAGGUCUUAGGAUUGUAAAAUUCUUUCACCGGGGACGAUAAUGACGGUACCCGGAGAAGAAGCUCCGGCUAACUUCGUGCCAGCAGCCGCGGUAAUACGAAGGGGGCUAGCGUUGCUCGGAAUUACUGGGCGUAAAGGGCGCGUAGGCGGACAGCUUAGUCAGAGGUGAAAGCCCAGGGCUCAACCUUGGAAUUGCCUUUGAUACUGGCUGUCUUGAGUUUGGGAGAGGUGAGUGGAACUCCGAGUGUAGAGGUGAAAUUCGUAGAUAUUAGGAAGAACACCAGUGGCGAAGGCGGCUCACUGGUCCGGUACUGACGCUGAGGUGCGAAAGCGUGGGGAGCAAACAGGAUUAGAUACCCGUGUAGUCC